CUUGCAAUGUUCGGCCAAGAAUUGUAGCGGUGCCUCAGGAUCAGUAUUUUGUUCACCUCCAAGAAGUUCCAUUGCUUCAUCCUCAUUAGCAAAGCAGAGGUCUAUGUCCCCUGACUCUAGCAAUUGAAGGAGAGGUGGUCUGAAGUCUCGAACCAUCUCAAAACUGGCCAAAUCCAAUGAGACAUAAAGACCCUCCUGCUUUGCAAUCUGAAUUGCUUCUUGAAUAACUUCUAUAUUGAAUUUUCCAUAUCUUAUUACCAGCCACUUGGAGCCCUUAAAAUCUUCCUUGGUCAAUUCAUCAGCCUGAACUUUCACAGCACUUGACAGGCAAGGUCGCAUUGUACGAUUGCCCAAUGCAUCAACCAAACAAACACACUGACCCGUCGGUCCCUUCUUCCUCCUCAAUUUCGAGAUGUUCACCCCACUAAAGCCCAUAUUACUAGCAAACAACUGGCCUUCCUCAUCAUCCCCAUAAGCCCCAAUAAUCCCACAAGAGACUCCAAAGUUUGCACUAAGACCCCGAAUGGUAUUGGCUACACUGCCCCCAGCAAUUGUUAACAUAGGAGAUGUCUCACCAGGGGAAGUAAGCAUAUGAGUUUUAACCUCUCCUAAAAUUUGCUGAAGGUCUUGAAUUGCAACGGGUAUGGAGCCACCGGGUUCACCGGGGACUUGAUGCAGCAAGGACAAAUCAACACGGGCCACAUGGUCUAUGAGAGCAGCAGGCUGGAGACCCAGUAUGAGAGGAUGAGAAGAAGCAGCAGCCGGAGCAACAUCUUCAUUCCUGGGCAAGGCUUCUGCUCCCAUGAUGAAAGGGUUUUGCUUCUUUCUUCUUCUUGGGAUUUCUGUGAUGGCUACUGCCUUUGCC
rnacentral:misc_RNA from 1 species